rnacentral:lncRNA from 1 species
GAUGUUGCUGUGUGUGCGUGUGUGUGUGUGUGUGUGUGUGUGUGUGUGUGUGAUAAAUAAGCAAAAUUGUUUUCCUGGGACUCCAUCCAGGAACAUUAGAUAUGGGGUCCAGCCCCAGCGCACAGGAAACCCUGCUCAGGCAGAUGGUGUGGGAGAGCGAGGUUGUGCUUUGAUGCAUGGGGUAGAGGAACCCUAGGAGGCACUGAGACCUCGGUGGCUGUCCCAGGCUCUGUCCUCCCUGCAUAUGGCCUCAGGCAGCUCAAGGCUUAGCUUCCCACUGGCCUCCUCCCUCCCGGACACUCACGCAUUUCAGGUCUGACGGGUACCCGCCACCCAAUCCCUCUUUCUUUUGACGGGUACCCGCCACCCAAUCCCUCUUUCUUCUGAUGUCGACAGGAUCAAGCACAAGCCUCCUUGGCAGGGAUGAGGGGUCCUCAGGUCUGGCUGGGCCCACCUGGCUGCUUCCUGGUCUCUACCACAUGCCCCAGCCUCACCCCACGGCCCGCCCAGCACCCGCCAGGCAUGCAGUGGCCCCUCUCUUCUCCUCGACAACUGCGUGCUGUUCCCGGCAGACCCUUGCGUUUCCUGUUCUCUGCCUGGAAAGCCAUGUCUUGUUCUCCACGCCCAGUUCUGAUGUCACCUUUCUCACACCCAGGAGUCCUCUGUGACCUGGGAGGGGGCCCACUCCCCCUACCCUCAGCGCUGGGCACUGGCUUGUGAUGGUCUCCUGGCCACAUGGGGAGCUCCUCGAGGGCAAGGCCUGGGAACAUCUGGAGUCAGUGAACACAGCAGGAAGGGGGGAUGGUCAAGCGCACCACAGGCUUGGAAGCAGACACGCCCAGUUCAAGCCCCACUCCAGCCCUCCUCAAGUGGGUCACUCCUCACGGCCUGUGAGUUCACCUCUUCAUCUGAGCUCGCUUCAGAUGACGCCCCCAGUGCCAGGUGAUCAUCUGCCGCUGUGUCCUCAGCAUCUGGCCCAGCCCCAUGGGGACCAUCUGUUAAAGCUCCAUCUACCCUACGAGGAGGCGAGUCCCCAAGGGCAGGGCUGGGUCUGAUUCACCUCUUCCUCCCCGGAGCCCAGGGUUCACUCUGCAACUCUGCUGGCUGAAGGGCCUGCUCCCAGCCCAGCUUGGCUGUCCAGUGGGGAGGGGCACCGCUGCCUUGCCCGAGGUUCCCUCUGCACCCCACGAUGGGCGCUGCGUCCUCCAUCCUCUGGUGCACCAGGUUAGCUUGACUCCAGGUGCCCUGCUGGUGUGGCUCCACCUGGUCGCUGGGGUCUGUCUUCCCAGCUCCCAUCCGCCCUUCCCUGCAUCCUCCUGGGCUGGUUCCAGUUUGGGGCCAUCAUCUCUUGUGCAUCUUUGCUCACGGCGUCUUCUGCACCUGCACUCCCAUCUGACCUUUCCAGACCAACUUCCACCCUGCCCCAACAGAGUGCUUUCAGAUCACCCGCCCUGCGAAAAUGUGUCGGUGAUCACUGUGACUAGAACAAGUCCUCGUGUCUCUCUAUGUGAGCCCCCAACCCACUCUCCAGCUACCCCUAGAACCAAAACAGCAUCCUGCCGCUGCCACGGUGGUGCAGCCACACUGAGCAUCCCAAACCUCGCCGGAAGCACGUUCCUCCUCCGUGCCUGUGCUUCUGCUGGUCUAAAUCAUUAUCUAUUGCUGAGGCUCACAGCAGAUGUCGCCUCUUCCAUAAAAGCUUUUCUGACUCCUUCACCCAGGAAGCAGGGUCCUGCCCUCCUCUGCAGCCCCACGUGGCCCACUUGGCAUGAGUGGCUGGCUUGCUCGCCUUCCUGGCCACACCAGAUGGGCUGUGCUUUCUUCACCUCUGCAUUCCAGGUGUCUCCUACGGACCUGGAAUGGGGUGGUCAUUUGGUGCGUGUUUGUUGAAACUGAAUUUUACAUGGCAGGGAUUUCAGACUCUUCUCUGGUUGGGUUUUGGGCUGACUGCUGAACAGUCCAUUUGCUAUCAGACAAAAUUCAGUUGCGGUCACGUCAGACAUUUCCUUUAGCCAAAUCGUUAUCUGAGGGUAUCACUGGAAUACACAUCAGCACUAGCUUGAUCUGCUUGGAAACCACCAAUGGCAUCCGCUCCGAGUCUUCCGAUGAUGUCCAGAUGGGAGCUGCUGCGCUUAGUGCAUUUUCUAUCAUUAAGCUGACGGGAGCUCCACGUCUGAGAGGGGCGUUUGGCCUUGGGUGGGUCACGCCUCUCUGUGUGCCCGUUUCUCCUCUGGAGCGGCAAGAAGCAGCAGCCAGAGUAUCAGCAAGGUCCCAUGGAAGGUGGAGUGAUCUCCAUUUUGCUAAUGCAAAGCACCCUUGGCAGUCAGUGUCCUGCACAUUUAUACAGAGCUCCAAGCCCACUGUGGUAGACUGGGGCUUCCCUUGGUGGCUGCAACAUCUGGCCUCACCACCGUGUUGAAUGGAGGAGACCCUAGGUGAACACUAGGUCCCACUGUACGAGCCGGGAGCCCUGACAUGUUAGGGAGGCUGGGGGCGGGGUCAAACCAAGGACGAGCAGGCUGCAGAGGGCCCAUGGGAUUCUGCUGCUGAACAGAUGCAGGCUGCCAUCGUACAAUGUGGCUCUCUUUUCUUUCUAGCAUAUCAUCCAAACGCCUACUUCCCACUUCUGGGAACUUCUCGCUCCCAGAUUCAGAAACUGUCCUGGGGCACCAGCAGUGACUUGAGCAGGGGAAGAGUGGGGCCAAGCCUGGCCUCCAGAAGCCAUCGGCCUCCAGAAGCCGUCAGCCUCCAGAAGCCGUCAGCCUCCAGUCCAGAGUGGCACAGCCAGCAAGCUUCACAGCGACUUCCUUCCAGGAGGACCAGGUGCAGCUAGCACUGCUGCAAGCCAAGUAGGACACCAACCCCUUUUUAUUGUUCCUGGGCUAUAAGGUCACGGACUUGCUUUCCCCCUCCUGACUGAUUCCUGCUGGCUCCAGGGCAGAUAUGCCCACGUCCCUGCACCCCGAGGGCUGCUCCUCAUGGCAGCAAAGCCCAGCCAGGGCAGCCUGAGAUGGGGUUGGGGGAGACAAGGAAAUGAAUGACUGCUCAGUGUGUGUGCCCCUUCAAGGUUUAGCAAGCUCCCCGCACACCCACCUUCUUGACCCAGCCAGAGGUGAGGACCUUAGGCUGCAUCCGUCGGCCCCUUCUGCCCUGGGGUGGGAGGCCGAAGCUAUUCAGUGCGGGUCAGGAGGGACAGCAUCAGUCAUGUGAGCACAGCUAGGCAGGCCUCAGGGAGGCUGGCUUGGUAGGUGUGUAUCUUGUCCUGUCCAGGGGAGACGAACAGGUCUGGGGCCCUAAACACCUUGACCCCUGGAGAGAUGAAGUGUUCCCCCCCACACCACCCUCCUGUCCUUGUUCAGACUCCUCUGGCUCCAAUUCCAGCUCCCAGGAAACUUCACACCUCGAGAGGAUGUGACCUGGGUUAAGGUGAUGGCCUUCUGGAAACUGGAAGAGAACACCCCUCCAUGGCAGGUAACAAGAGACGCUUCAUCUUCAAGUCUUUUCUUCUGUCCAGAAAGCACUCAGAGAAAUUACAAUAAUAAAGUUAGUCCAUUAUA